UGAUGCACAACCGAAGAAAAAGUAUAUUCGCAUAAUCACUUAAAAAUUCCCAUACACUACAUAGAGAGUACAAUUUUUAUGGUUAAUAUUGAUCUUAUAACAUGUUCUAUUACAAAGAUGCAAACUGCACUACUAAUUUCAAAAUUUUCCACCAGCACUUUUGGAAUGUGAGUUGCUAAUUAAUGACAAGCGCAAUGGCCUUCUAGGAAACUAAAUGUACAUGCUACAUCAGGUAAAUUUUCCAAAUACAGGUGGCCAACAUAAUAUAUUCAAUAUGAAACUUCAGGUGCUGCAAUGUAAUGUACUCAGUCUGAAACUUCAGCUACUGCAAAGGAUUGUGCUUCAUUUGUUCAUGAAGGAAAUUUGGGUUCCAAGACAUGUCCUCUUCUCCUCUCUAAAGAAAUAAUUACUGUGGUGCAUUAAGUAAAUACAGUCCGGAGGAAGGAGACGAGAAGAAGGGGAGAGAAGAUAAAUUCUUACAAUUGUCCAUGGCGUCGGAGCAGCAGCGUCCUAGGAAGGGAAGAAGCAAGCACACAGAGCACCUACACGCGCGUGAGGAAACCACAUCAGGGAGGCGAGCGGCCAAAACAAGACUAACCAACAGUCCGGGGGAGAUAGGGGCGGGGAGGAGACCUUCCAUGGCGGCUGUAGGUGCAUGGUUGUGGAGAUGGAGGCUGAUGCGGAUCUGGCACUGGGAGCGGAGGAGCUCGAUGUCGACGGCGCUAGACAAUCUGGGUGUGCCAUGGUUGCCGCCUGGCCUGCUUCGGUCGCGGUGGAUCUCCCUCCCUCUUCUCCUCCCAUGCCUUCUGUUAAGGCGUCACCUUGGGGUUGGAACAUGGGAAAGCAGCACAUGCUAGAAGGAGGCUUUGGGAGGCGCAGCUGGUGGUGGGAGAUGCGGCAACAACGUGAG
rnacentral:lncRNA from 1 species